rnacentral:sRNA from 1 species
GCCAGCGUCAUUGGGGAGUAGCCGAUUUCUGACGCUUCGUCAGAAAUGCAUCUGUCAACAUACUCGUUUAGAUAUAAACGUGGCAGGUGCGGCCCGCAGCGGGAAGGCGAGACCAUAGACACGUGCCCAUGUAAGGUUGGGGAUGGCGCACGUGUAUAUGGAUGUCCCGGCCGGG